UUCAUCAAGACUGGAACCAUGGUGCAAAUACAUCACAUAUAGUGAACUCAACACUAAGCACCCAAUAAAAUUUAAUCAACCAAAUUGGUCAGGUAAGUUUCAGAUUGAUGGGAGGCUCCCCGUGUAUAGGCAACGAUCCUAAUUAAAUAACCAUUAUUCUAUCACUUAUCUUAGACACCAACUGAUCAAUCAAUUUCAAAUUGAUUUAGCCCAUUAGUUUAUGCCACCAC
rnacentral:lncRNA from 1 species